ensembl:snRNA U6 U6 spliceosomal RNA
GUGCUCACUUCAGCAGCCUGCAUAUACUAAAACUGAAAUGAUGCAGAGAUUAACAGAUUAACAUGGCCCCUAUGCUAGGAUGACAAGCCAAUUCCUGCAGUGUUCCAUAUUUUU